AGUGAACGCUGGCGGUAGGCCUAACACAUGCAAGUCGAACGGCAGCACAGUAAGAGCUUGCUCUUACGGGUGGCGAGUGGCGGACGGGUGAGGAAUACAUCGGAAUCUACUUUUUCGUGGGGGACAACGUAGGGAAACUUACGCUAAUACCGCAUACGACCUACGGGUGAAAGCAGGGGAUCUUCGGACCUUGCGCGAUUGAAUGAGACGGUUUUGGAUUAGCUAGUUGGCGGGGUAAGGGCCCACCAAGGCGACGAUCCGUAGCCGGUCGGACAGGAUGUUCGGCCAAACUGGAACUGGGACACGGUCCAGACUCCUACGGGAGGCAGCAGUAGGGAAUUUUGGACAAUGGGCGAAAUCCUGACCCAGCAACGCCGCGUGGGGUAAGAAGGUCUUCGGGUCGUAAAGCUCUUUUAUUGGGGAAGAAAACAUGCGAGAUAAACCCCCCGCAUCUUGACGGUACCCAAAAAAAAAGCCACGGCUAACUUCGGG
rnacentral:rRNA from 1 species